rnacentral:rRNA from 1 species
GACAGAGGAUGCAAGCGUUAUCCGGAAUGAUUGGGCGUAAGCGUCUGUAGGUGGCUUUUCAAGUCCGCCGUCAAAUCCCAGGGCUCAACCCUGGACAGGCGGUGGAAACUACCAAGCUGGAGUACGGUAGGGGCAGAGGGCUCGUAGAGCCGGUGGAGCGGUGAAAUGCGUAGAGAUCGGAAAGAACACCAAUGGGCGAAAGCACUCUGCUGGGCCGACACUGACACUGAGAGACGAA